GAUGAACGCUGGCGGCGUGCCUAAUACAUGCAAGUCGAGCGAACAGACGAGGAGCUUGCGCCUCAUAUGCUAGCGACUGACGGGCGGGUAACACGUAGAGAACCCACCUGUAACACUGGUAUCCCUUCGGGAAACCGGACCUAAUCCCGGACAAUAUCUCUAACCGCAUGUUUCCAUAGUCCCCGACGCUCUUGCUGUCACUUAUAGAUGGAUCCGCGCCGCACUAGCAAGUUGCUAAGGUAACGGCUUACCAAGGCGACGAUGCGUAGCCCACCUGAGAGGGUGUUCCGCCACACUGGAAGUGAGACACGCACGAGACUCCUACGGGAGGCAGCGAUACGGAAUUUGCCGCAAUAGGAGAGGGACUGACGGAGCAACACGGCCUGGGAGAUGAUGGGCUUCGGAUCGUAAAACGCUGUUGUUGUGGAAGUACAGCCGACCCAGUAACCAUGCACAAAUUGACAGUACCAGCUCAGAAAGCCACGGCCAACUACGUG
rnacentral:rRNA from 1 species